rnacentral:rRNA from 1 species
AUUGAACGCUGGCGGCAGGCCUAACACAUGCAAGUCGAACGAGUGGCGGACGGGCGAGUAAUGCUUGGGCACCUAGCUUAUGGAGGGGGAUAACUACGGGAACCUUUAGCUACUACCGCGUACCGUAGGAUGAGCCCUAGGGGGAUUAGGUAGUUGGUGAGGUAAAGGCGCACCAAGCCGACGAUCCCUAGCUGGUCUGAGAGGCAGACCGGCCACACUGGGACUGAGACACGGCCCAGACUCCUACGGGAGGCAGCAGUGGGGAAUAUUGCGCAAUGGGGGAAACCUGACGCAGCCAUGCCGCGUGAGUGAAGAAGGCCUUCGGGUUGUAAAAUUCUUUCGGUAGAGAGGCGUUAACUACAGAAGAAGCACCGGCUAACUCCGUGCCAGCAGCCGCGGUAAUAC